rnacentral:lncRNA from 1 species
UUCUCUUCACUUCUCCUCACUCUCUCUUUUUCUUUCAGAAAGAACUAAUCAGACAGACCAUAGUUGGAUUACUGUCUCUACCGUUUGUGACUGAUUGUGAACUUGGACACAUGACGUAAUCUGUAUGCCUCAGUCCCUUCUCCUUAGUGCAGGUAGAGAAAAAAUACCAUUCGCCAAAUCAAUAGCUGUAUAACAGGUACCUGAGAAUGUACCGAAAUGCUCCAGUAAUGAAACCACAUUCGGAACAGCAGCUGCAAUUGCUCGAUAAUGUUUAUGAUAAUCUACUAUCAUUGUCUAAGACCCAUCUGUCUUCUGCACAGGCCAAGGUAAGAAUUGCAUUUGUGGACAUAAUCAAUGAAGCACGGCAACAACCUAUAAGAAUCAUUGGAAGCUGGUAUUCACAGGCAGUGCAAUGGAUGAUGGAACAUCCUGAGUGGUGGUGUAGCAAGCAUUAAGCAAAGAGUGUUCAGGAAAUUUGAUGGUAAGAAGCUCUACAUUGCUUCAAUGCAAAAUCUAUAUCAUUUAUGAAGAAACUGUGUUAAAAGUUGUAACAGCAUUUCCACUGCUUUCGUUUUUCGCAGGAGGACC